GUGCUUGCUUCGGCAGCACAUAUAUACUAAAAUAAGAACGAUACAGGUUAGCAUGGCCCCUGCACAAAGGA
rnacentral:snRNA from 1 species